AAACUUUCAACAACGGAUCUCUUGGCUCUGGCAUCGAUGAAGAACGCAGCGAAAUGCGAUAAGUAAUGUGAAUUGCAGAAUCUACUGAAUCAUCGAAUCUUUGAACGCACAUUGCGCCCCUUGGUAUUCCGAGGGGCAUGCCUGUUCGAGCGUC
rnacentral:rRNA from 1 species